CCUGAUGCAGCGACGCCGCGUGGGUGAUGACGGCCUUCGGGUUGUAAACCCCUUUCAGCACAGACGAAGCGCACGUGACGGUAUGUGCAGAACAAGGACCGGCCAACUACGUGCCAGCAGCCGCGGUAAUACGUAGGGUCCGAGCGUUGUCCGGAAUUACUGGGCGUAAAGAGCUCGUAGGUGGUUUGUCGCGUUGUUCGUGAAAACUCACAGCUCAACUGUGGGCGUGCGGGCGAUACGGGCAGACUAGAGUACUGCAGGGGAGACUGGAAUUCCUGGUGUAGCGGUGGAAUGCGCAGAUAUCAAGAGGAACACCGGUGGCGAAGGCGGGUCUCUGGGCAGUAACUGACGCUGAGGAGCGAAAGCGUGGGGAGCGAACAGGAUUAGAUACCCUGGUAGUCCACGCCGUAAACGGUGGGUACUAGGUGUGGGUUUCCUUCCUUGGGAUCCGUGCCGUACCUAACGCAUUAAGUACCCCGCCUGGGGAGUACGGCCGCAAGGCUAAAACUCAUAGAAAUUGACGGGGGCCCGCACAAGCGGCGGAGCAUGUGGAUUAAUUCCAUGCAACGCGAAAAACCUUACCUGGGUUUGACAUGCACAGGACGUGCCUAGAGAUAGGUAUUCCCUUGUGGCC
rnacentral:rRNA from 1 species